rnacentral:misc_RNA from 1 species
GAUGAAGAACGUAGCGAAAUGCGAUAAGUAAUGUGAAUUGCAGAAUUCAGUGAAUCAUCGAAUCUUUGAACGCACAUUGCGCCCGCCAGUAUUCUGGCGGGCAUGCCUGUCCGAGCGUCAUUUCAACCCUCGAACCCCUCCGGGGGGUCGGCGUUGGGGACCUCGGGAGCCCCUAAGACGGGAUCCCGGCCCCGAAAUACAGUGGCGGUCUCGCCGCAGCCUCUCCUGCGCAGUAGUUUGCACAACUCGCACCGGGAGCGCGGCGCGUCCACGUCCGUAAAACACCCAACUUCUGAAAUGAUGACCUCGGAUCAGGUAGGAAUACCCGCUGAACUUAAGCAUAUCAAUAGGCGGAGGA